rnacentral:rRNA from 1 species
CAGUAGCCACGGUAAUACGAGGGAUCCUAGCGUUGUUCGGAAUCAUUGGGCGUAAAGGGUGUGUAGGCGGCCUUGUAAGUCAGUUGUGAAAGCCCCGGGCUCAACCCGGGAAGUGCUUCUGAUACUGCUUGGCUUGAGUAUUGGAUAGGUGAGUGGAAUUCCAGGUGUAGUGGUGAAAUACGUAGAUAUCUGGAGGAACACCGGCGGCGAAGGCGGCUCACUGGCCAUAUACUGACGCUGAAACACGAAAGCGUGGGGAGCAAACCGGAUUAGAUACCCCCGUAGUCCCUGUCUCUUAUAC